AAAAAAAAAAAAAAAAAAAUCUCUGCCAGCAGUAACCAGGUGGAAUUCCAUCAAUGAUGUCUGGAUUCCAAAAAGGCUGUCCCAACUGUUAUGUUUGUAUUAAUUACGUAUACUUUUUACUGAAAAAAAAAAAAAAAAAAAAAAAAAAUCUCUGCCAGCAGUAACCAGGUGGAAUUCCAUCAAUGAUGUCUGGAUUCCAAAAAGGCUGUCCCAACUGUUAUGUUUGUAUUAAUUACGUAUACUUUUUACAGAAAAAAAAAAAAAAAUCUCUGCCAGCAGUAACCAGGUGGAAUUCCAUCAAUGAUGUCUGGAUUCCAAAAAGGCUGUCCCAACUGUUAUGUUUCUAUUAAUUACGUAUACUUUUUACUGAAAAAAAAAAAAAAAAAAAAAUCUCUGCCAGCAGUAACCAGGUGGAAUUCCAUCAAUGAUGUCUGGAUUCCAAAAAGGCUUUCCCAACUGUUAUGUUUCUAUUAAUUACGUAUACUUUUACUGAAAAAAAAAAAAAAAAAAAAUCUCUGCCAGCAGUAACCAGGUGGAAUUCCAUCAAUGAUGUCUGGAUUCCAAAAAGGCUGUCCCAACUGUUAUGUUUGUAUUAAUUACGUAUACUUUUUACUGAAAAAAAAAAAAAAAAAAAAAAAAAUCUCUGCCAGCAGUAACCAGGUGGAAUUCCAUCAAUGAUGUCUGGAUUCCAAAAAGGCUGUCCCAACUGUUAUGUUUGUAUUAAUUACGUAUAC